AUACGGAGGGGGCUAGCGUUGUUCGGAAUUACUGGGCGUAAAGCGCGCGUAGGCGGAUUGUUAAGUCGGGGGUGAAAUCCCGGGGCUCAACCCCGGAACUGCCUCUGAUACUGGCAAUCUUGAGUUCGAGAGAGGUGAGUGGAAUUCCGAGUGUAGAGGUGAAAUUCGUAGAUAUUCGGAGGAACACCAGUGGCGAAGGCGGCUCACUGGCUCGAUACUGACGCUGAGGUGCGAAAGCGUGGGGAGCAAACAGGAUUAGAAACCCCAGUAGUCC
rnacentral:rRNA from 1 species